GGUUUGUUUUGGAUGACUUGGAUUUUGUGAAAUAAAAUAGGUGUUACGUUUUGGGUGAUUUCAAGAAUUUUGUAAUAGUUCUACAAGUGAAAAUUUGUGGGUUAAUGUUUAUAGUUGUAUUCAAUAUUUUUUGUAAAUUUAAGUUCGAUCUAACAGUUGAAUUGAGAGUUAUUGAGGUUUAAGUGAGUCAAGGUAUCAAAAAGUAAAAUUUUAGGUCUAGUGAGGGUUUUUAAGAUUUCUUGCAAUCUACUAGUUAGAUUGGAGUAAAACUUAUGUGAGAGGAUAUUAGAUUUUUUUUUCUAUAUGUAUGAGAAUUUUGAAAUCAAUCGAAUGGUGAAAAGAAGAGAUAUUGGCUCUAGAAGAUUGGCAUUAAGGUUGGAGAAGGAGGCCGGCCAAUACCCGAGCAUGUUUUUGAGGUAAUCAUCUAUUUAGUAAUUCCGAUCCUUUUCAAAAUUUUUGUACUUAUUUUCAACUUAGUUUUUAAGAAGUUCAAAAAAUUUGAGUUAAGAUCAAUAAUUCAUUCAUUAGUUAUUGAGGUUUGAAUCUGUUAUAGAAAUUACUAGGGUUUGAUUAAGAUUUGGUUUAGGGUUUAGAAUUUGGUUAGGGUUUCAUUUAGGAUUUGGUUAGGGUUUGGUUAGGAUUUGGUUUAGGGUUAAGGAUUUGAUUUAAGUUUUAGGGUUUAAUUUAGGAUUUAGGAUUUGAUUUAGGGUUUAAGAUUUGGUUUAAGAUUUGUUUAGGAUUUGGUUAGAGUUUGGUUUAGUAUUUGAUUAGGAUUUGAUUUAGGGUUUAAGAUUUGGUUUAAGAUUUGUUUAGGAUUUGGUUAGAGUUUGGUUUAGUAUUUGAUUAGGAUUUGGUUUAGGAUUUAGGAUUUGAUUUAGGAUUUAGGAUUUGAUUUAGGAUUUAGGAUUUGAUUUAGGAUUUAGGAUUUGGUUUAGGAUUUAAGGUUUAGGGUUUGAUUUAGGAUUUAAGAUUUGAUUUAGGAUUUAUUUAAGGUUUGGUUAGGAUUUAGAAUUUGGUUUAAGGUUUAAGGUUUAGUUAGGAUUUGAUUUAAGAUUUACUUAGGGAUUGGUUAGAAUUUGGUUUAGAAUUUGAUUAGGAUUUGGUUUAGGGUUUAGGAUUUGGUUUAGAAUUUAAGGUUUAGGGUUUGAUUUAGGAUUUAAGAUUUGAUUUAGGAUUUAUUUAAGGUUUGAUUAGGAUGUAGGAUUUGGUUAGGGUUUGAUUUAGGAUUUAGAAUUUGGUUUAAGGUUUAAGGUUUAGUUAGGAUUUGAUUUAAGAUUUAUUUAGGGAUUGGUUAGAAUUUGGUUUAGAAUUUGAUUAGGAUUUGGUUUAGGAUUUAGGAUUUGAUUUAGGAUUUAAGGUUUAAUUAGGGCUUAAUUUAAGAUUUAGGGUUUGAUUUAGGAUUUGUUUAAGAAUUGGUUAGAGUUUGGUUUAGGAUUUGAUUAGGAUUUGAUUUAGGAUUUAAGAUUUUAUUAGGAUUUAUUUAGGAUUUAUUUAGGAUUUAAGAUUUAAUUAAUUUUGGCCUAAAGUUCAAAUGAAGUCCAAUAGGAUUUUAACUAGGAUUAAAUUA
rnacentral:lncRNA from 1 species